rfam:Oryza nivara chromosome 1, whole genome shotgun sequence.
AAAAAAACAAACCCUGGGUUUCCGUGUCCAACUUUGACUGUCCGUCUUAUAUGAAAUUUUUUUAUAAUUCGUAUUUUCAUUGUUGUUAGAUGAUAAAACAUGAUUAAUAUUUUAUGCGUGACUUGUCUUUUUAUUUUUUUUUCAUAAUUUUUUCAAAUAAGACGGACGGUCAAACGUUGGACCCGGAAACCAAGGUUUGUCUUUUUU